UUUUUAUAUAGGAUCAUAGGAUCUAUUUUAUUAUUUUUGUCUGAUCCUUGUCGUUGUGUGAUGUUUAUACACUAAGACAGAUAAAAGAAAGAAGAUUAUUGCGCUGCGAUUUGAAAUUAACAUAUCUACUGCAAUGGUAUAAAAAAGAAAAUAGUAUCCCAAUUUCAACUCUCCUCACGUAUAUAGUUUUAUUGGGGUUAAGUAGUGUAUAUAUACACGUCUAUGUUGCUGCAGUCUUAUAAAAUGAGAGAUUAAUGAAAUAAAAUUCGUAUAAAUUAGUAACUAGCACCAAGUUUAAGAAGCCUACACCUAAAACAGUUGGAUACAAUUUCGUGAGAAGUUAUUAUUGUUAUUGAUUUGGUAUAAUGGCACAGACUGUAACGCUCCAGUUUUGAUUUUCCGCCUUUGGGUGCCCCCUUAAUAUCCAAACAUUUGUUCGCCCCUUUGGCUCCACCCUAAACAAUAUUGACUUUGUUAACAAAAGCCUGAAACAAAAAGUAAAUAAAAACUUAAUUGGUUAAAACAACGUAAACAGAGAACGGUUUUUAUUUCACCUGAGAGGAGCGCAUGGGGCGUUGUGCCGCUAAGUAAAUAGAAAACUUGACGUUCCGCAGAUAAUUACUGAUAAACGUAGGCGCUGCUUUAUAUAUGGACUCAGUCCCCAUAAGUCUAGCCCGUCUCCUCUGUUGACUCUAAUCAAGCACCCUCUCCCGUUCGCUAUACAAAUACAAUCCGGUUGAGGGGCAGUCGUAGGUGCAAUCAGAGCUCUAUAUUUGCAUAAAUGGGUCGCUGGACAAGCCGGAGAACGUAAACGCCUGAAAGGAAAUUCUAUAUUCAGCUGAUAAGACUGAAGGUUGCGAGGUGUGAAUAAUUGCAGUAUUUAAAUAAGAUCGCAGAAACAAAGGUAUCACCCCCUGCGCCAUUUCCGCUCAUUGAGAAAAGCAAGAGCGGGAAGGCAAGAGAGUGGGACAGACAAAGAAAUCCAAGCGAGGGCGAACUAGUCCACAGUGCAUUUUCCAUUUUCCAGACCUGCGCUGCGUGCGUGUGAAACAUGAAAAUGGUUGAAAUAACAGAGAGACGACGCCGGCAAAGGCAGACAUGAAGUGCGGCACAAAAUAAAACCAUUCGUUUCAGUGAACAACCUGUUCAAGGGGGUUCUGCUGCACACACACACAUACACACACUCAC